rnacentral:hammerhead_ribozyme from 1 species
AUCCAGCUGACGAGUCACAAAUAGGACAAAACGCGCGUCAUGGAU